GCUUUUGUGAUGUAAUGGUAGCAUAGUCGGCGUGUAUUCGAUAGGUCCAGGUUCGAUUCCCCGCAAAGGCA
rnacentral:tRNA from 1 species